CGGGGGUCGGCACCUGGGGCCCGUGAGCGCCGCUGGGGCCUGUGAGCGGGACCUUGAGGGGUGGGGCCCGCUCCGAGGCGGCGCUGGGAGAGCCGGAAGGAGGCUUUCUGCAGCUUGGGGGGCCUGUGCUUGGCUCUCGGUUGUGCUGUUCCUGUGUAGCCAGGUUUUUCCCUAACAACGCCCCUACCGCAUUCAAAUCACGUGGAAAAGAAGCUGCAUCCACUGGCCCCUCGUUACUUCUCUCCAAAAUCUGGCUCCCCAAAGGGCAUAGGAAGAGUCAGUAUCUCUGAAGGAGAUCUACUAAAGCCAACACCAAAGAAAGAGACUUUGAGAGCCAGUAGGAUACGCUAAGCAGAAUGAUUUGAAUCUUAUGCCACUCCAUGGGCUGAGUGGAUUGAAGGAGGCUGCUGGGCUUCAUACCUCUAAAUUACUGCUUGAAGGUAAGUGCUCAUGUCAUGAACAUGUGUUCAAGAGCUGAGCAAGAGGCGUUGCUUUCCAGCAAAGGUCAACAGGAGGAGGGAAGUGACUCCACCUAGAAGUAAGAGAGUGCCUGAACUUUGACCUUUGCAUGUAAGGC
rnacentral:lncRNA from 1 species